rnacentral:rRNA from 1 species
AUUGAACGCUGGCGGCAUGCCUUACACAUGCAAGUCGAACGGCAGCACGGGUGCUUGCACCUGGUGGCGAGUGGCGAACGGGUGAGUAAUAUAUCGGCACGUACCUUAUUGUGGGGGAUAACGCCGCGAAAGCUGUGCUAAUACUGCAUACGACCUGCGGGUGAAAUCGGGGGAUCGCAAGACAUCGAGCUAUUGGAGCGGCCGAUGGCCAAUUAGGUAGUUGGUGGGGUAAAGGCCUCACAAGCCUGCGAUCUGUAGCUGGUUUGAGAGGCCGACCAGCCCCACUGGGACUGAGACACGGCCCAGACUCCUACGGGAGGCAGCAGUGGGGAAUUUUGGACAAUGGGCGCAAGCCUGAUCCAGCCAUGCCGCGUGCGGGAAGAAGGCGUUCGGGUUGUAAACCGCUUUUGUCGGGGAAGAAACGGUGGAGGUUAAUACCUUCUGCUAAUGACGGUACCCGAAGAAUAAGCACCGGCUAACUACGUGCCAGCCGCCGCAGUAA